CUUCUUUCCUUCUUUCUUUCUUUCUCUCUCUCUCUCUUCCUUCCUUCCUUCCUUCCUUCCUUCCUUUCUGUCCUCCCAAGUCCUUCCUUCCUUCCUUCCUUCCUUCCUCUGGCUAAAGUAGAUCUGACUUAUGGACGCAGUUUAGGGCUCUCGCCCAUGGGUGGUGAGGAGUCAGGAACAAAGGAAUAAAUUCACGUGGAAUCCGGAGGGCAUCCGCCCCCCACCCCUUUCAGUCGUCGCUAUCUACAGCUCCCUAUAGCUGACGCUGGAUCCUGUCUGGGAAACGAAAGCAGAGAGACCCUUGUCUUUUUAACAAAGAACUCGCUCUGUUGCCUCUGACCCCCAACCAAUGAAACGCUAAGUUGUUUUAAAAACCGAUGGCUCUCCCCAUAGAUGACACCGGAGGAAAAUCUUGCCUAUACGACUGCCAAUUUCUAAGCGGAAGGACCAACAGCAAUGGUUUUGGGGACAAGAGGCCUGUUUACACCCUCCGGACAUCAGAGAGAUUGUCUAUCUACCUAUUGCGUGCUUAAAACGGUGGUUUUUCUGAAAUACCUAAGGGUGCAGGACUGAGUGCGGAACUCCGAGGAACUCCACAGGAUACAAAUAAAAGACCUGGCGAUAGAAUGGAGACUAUUACGUUUAUAUUGUUGCUGUUAAUAUAUAUUCUAUUUCCUACCACACUCCUCCAAGAAAUGGGAGAUGGGCCAUGAAUUUUAAUGUUUGUUCUCUCUUGCGAAAAUUAAACAAGCACAGAACAAGA